CCAAGCACAGAGGUUAACAAAUUACAUAUUUUAGCUCGUCUCAGACUUGGUUUUUUUAAAUAUUUAUUUAUUUAUAUGAGUAUACUGUAGCUGUACAGAUGGCUGUGAGCCAUCAUGUGGUUGCUAGGAUUUGAACUCAGGACCUUUGGAAGAGCAGUCGGUGCUCUCAACGCUGAGCCAUCUCUUCAGCCCCUUGUCUCAGACUUGUAAAAAACAAAACAAACAAACAAAAAAACAAAACAAAAAAAAACCACCUGCAAGGUAAGAUUAGCUUUAAUAAUUAGCUUUUUUUUUUAAAUGAAAACUGAGGUCCAGCUCCUUGGAUAAGUCUGCCCAGUGUCAGCACUGGUUAGUGACCAACGGAGCUCAUACUUGAUCUUGGAGCUGCCCAAGUCUAAGACUUAACUCUCACCAUCUCACGAUCCCGAUAUUACUUGUCAACCUGCAGUUGGAAUCAAAACUGCAGUGCAUUUUCAGAGUUUAUUUGUUUCAGUUUGGUGUUGUCAUCUGUAUGGUCCCAGCUAUCCUAGGGGUUACUCUGUAGACCAGGCUAGCCUCAAACUGCAUCUGCCUUCAAAGUAUUGGGACCAAAGGCAUGGACCACCACUCUGGAUUAUACCGCAGUAUAUUUUAAAUAAAUGUUUAUUAUGUGUGGUGUGU
rnacentral:lncRNA from 1 species